GUGUCAGCAGCCGCGGUAAUACGUAGGUGUCAAGCGUUGUCCGGAUUUAUUGGGCGUAAAGCGCCCGCAGGCGGCUUGGUAAGUUUCAAGUGAAAUCUCCUGGCUUAACUGGGAGGGGUCUUGAAAAACUAUCAGGCUUGAGGCAGGGAGAGGGAUGUGGAAUUCCCGGUGUAGUGGUGAAAUGCAUAGAUAUCGGGAGGAACACCAGUGGCGAAGGCGGCAUCCUGGCCCUGUCCUGACGCUCAGGGGCGAAAGCGUGGGGAGCAAACCGGAUUAGAAACCCUGGUAGUCC
rnacentral:rRNA from 1 species